UGCCGCCUAUGGCCUGGCGGGUGCGCGCUUGCGGGGCGAGCGCGGCGCCACGCCCGUUGACGCCGGCGGCCGGCGGC
rnacentral:tRNA from 1 species